rnacentral:rRNA from 1 species
AAAAUGCAAAGUGUCGCCGAGAAAUCCAGGAAAGCUAUCAGGAGGUACCUAGAGAAGCUGGAGAACCACCAGAACCCACUUGCAAUCAACCUCCUUGACAACAGCCUACAGCGCAGAAGACUCCGAAGAAACCAUCCACUUGACCUACCUUUCCGGAUUCCCUAAAGGCCUAGGGAAUCUACAUAACCGCCAACGUACCACAUAAUUUAAUUGAUUGCCCUCCUGGGCAGAUGUAAAUAAAGAUACUGUAAUAUAUAUAAAAAAAAAAAAAAAAAAAUUAUAUUAGUUAUGGUUCCUUAGAUCGUUAACUGUGGUAAUUCUAGAGCUAAUACAUGCAAUUAAAAGUAUCCAGGACUCCCAUGGUUGCAACGGGAAACGGGGAAUCAGGGUUCGUUUCCGGAGAGGGAGCCUGAGAAACGGCUACCACAUCCAAGGAAGGCAGCAGGCGCGUAAAUUUCCCACUCCCAGCUCGGGGGAGGUAGUGACAAAAAAUAACAAUACAGGACUCAUAUCCGAGGCCCUGUAAUUGGAAUGAGUACAUUUAAAAUCCUUUAACAAGGACCACUUGGAGGGCAAGUCUGGUGCCAGCAGCCGCGGUAAUUCCAGCUCCAAUAGCGUAUAUAAAACGUUCAUAGUUGAACUUGUGCUUCAUACGGGUAGAACAACUUACAAUUGUGGUUAGUACUAUACCUAUAAUACUAUGUAAGCGUAUUACCGGUGGAGUUCUUAUAUGUGAUUAAAUACUUGUAUUUUUUCAUAUGUUCCUCCUAUUUAAAAACCUUGCAUUAGUGUUUAAACGAGUGUUAUUGUGGGCCGGUACUAGUACUUUGAACAAAUUAGAGUGCUUAAAGCAGGCUUCAAAUGCCUGAAUAUUCUGUGCAUGGGAUAAUGAAAUAAGACCUCUGUUCUGCUUUCAUUGGUUUUCAGAUCAAGAGGUAAUGAUUAAUAGAAGCAGUUUGGGGGCAUUAGUAAUACGACGCGAGAGGUGAAAUUCUUGGACCGUCGUAAGACUCACUUAAGCGAAAGCAUUUGCCAAAGAUGUUUUCAUUAAUCAAGAACGAAAGUUAGAGGUUCGAAGGCGAUCAGAAACCGCCCUAGUUCUAACCAUAAACGAUGCCAGCUAGCAAUUGGGUGUAGCUAUUUUUAUGGCUCUCUCAGUCGCUUCCCGGGAAACCAAAGCUUUUGGGCUCCGGGGGAAGUUGCAAAGCUGAAACUUAAAGGAAUUGAUGGAAGGGCACCACCAGAAGUGGAGCAUGCGGCUUAAUUUGACUCAACACUGGAAAACUUACCAGGUCCGAACAUAAGUGUGUAAGACAGAUUGAUAGCUCUUUCUCGAAUCUAUGGGUGGUGGUGCAUGGCCGUUCUUAGUUCGUGGAGUGAUUUGUCUGGUUAAUUCCAAACUCAAAUAUAUUAAAUAGAUAUCUUCAGGAUUAUGGUGCUGAAGCUUAUAUAGCCUUCAUUCAUGGUGGCAGUAAAAUGUUUAUUGUGUUUGAAUGUGUUUAAGUAAGUGGAGCCGGACCUGUUGGCUUGUAGCAUUAUAAGGACACUAGCUUCUUAAAUGGACAAAUUGCGUCUAGCAAUAAUGAGAUUGAGCAAUAAAAGGUCUGUGAUGGCCUUAGAUGUCCUGGGCUGCACGCGCGCCACAAUGAAAGUAUCAACGUGUAUUUCCUAGACCGAGAGGUCCGGGUAAACCGCACGUCUCCGGACGUGAUCACUGUGACGCCUUGCGUGUUACGGUUGUUUCGCAAAAGUUGACCGAACUUGAUUAUUUAGAGGAAGUAAAAGUCGUAACAAGGUUUCCGUAGGUGAACCUACGGAAGGAUCAUUA